AGCAGUCGCCGCGGGAAUACGUAGGUCCCGAGCGUUGUCCGGAUUUAUUGGGCGUAAAGCGAGCGCAGGCGGUUAGAUAAGUCUGAAGUUAAAGGCUGUGGCUUAACCAUAGUACGCUUUGGAAACUGUUUAACUUGAGUGCAGGAGAGAAAAGUGGAAUUCCUAGUGUAGCGGUGAAAUGCGUAGAGAUUAGGAGAAACACCAGUGGCGAAGGCGGCUUUUUGGCCUGUAACUGACGCUGAGGCUCGAAAGCGUAGGGAGCGAACAGGAUUAGAGACCCGCGUAGUCCCUGUCUCUUAUACC
rnacentral:rRNA from 1 species